AGCGAACGCUGGCGGCAGGCCUAACACAUGCAAGUCGAACGGACCCUUCGGGGUUAGUGGCGGACGGGUGAGUAACACGUGGGAACGUGCCCUUUGGUUCGGAACAACUCAGGGAAACUUGAGCUAAUACCGAAUGUGCCCUUCGGGGGAAAGAUUUAUCGCCAUUGGAGCGGCCCGCGUCUGAUUAGCUAGUUGGUGGGGUAAUGGCCUACCAAGGCGACGAUCAGUAGCUGGUCUGAGAGGAUGAUCAGCCACAUUGGGACUGAGACACGGCCCAAACCCCUACGGGAGGCAGCAGUGGGGAAUCUUGAGCAAUGGGCGAAAGCCUGACGCAGCCAUGCCGCGUGAAUGAUGAAGGUCUUAGGAUUGUAAAAUUCUUUCACCGGGGACGAUAAUGACGGUACCCGGAGAAGAAGCCCCGGCUAACUUCGUGCCAGCCGCCGCCGUAAAAC
rnacentral:rRNA from 1 species